rnacentral:tRNA from 1 species
AGCCUUGGGGUGUAACACGUUAGAUUGCAAAUCUAAAGAAGUAGGCUGACAGCCUACCGGGGCUU